AAACCAAAUAGGCUAGAUAAUAAAGUUGAUAUAGGUUUGAUAAUAUACUUAUGUUGGAUCUCAACCUCAAAAACAUGAUAUUGAGCUUGAUAUAGAGCUCGAGCUUGUUUUGACUAAUGAAACAAGCCAAGCUAAACUGAGCUCAAGCAUUUAUACUUUAUAACAAGCUCAAGCUUGAACAUUAUUUGUAGGCUCGUAUCAAGUUCAAGCCAAGUUUGAACAUUCUACUUUUGCUAUCAAGCCGAACUUGAACAUUUACUACUCGACACAUUUACUACUUGACAAAACUCGGCUCAUUUACCGCCCUACAAUCUAUACAUAUUAUAUAUGUCCUGCUGAAUAGACAGGAACUCACUACCCAAAAGUAAAAACAAAAAAUUAAUUCAGUAUGGUGUCUCCAUUACGUGGGCAGCAACAUAUUAAACAAAAAAUCAUGGUAUAUCAGUUUCAAAGGAGGAAUCAAUGAUAUACACAAACACCAAAACCAAAUGUCGUCCGCUCUUCUUAGCAUCGAACCUCCACGCCUCUGUCGGAUUUGGUGUUGGAACUGCCAUGAUCGUGGUAUCGUGACCUAAGGUCUAUGCAGAAGGACCAGCCCAACCCAUUGGAGGAGUAGCGGCUAUUGCCAUCUUAAUAGGACCCGAUGCUCCUAUUACUUUUGAAAGCAGAGUUAGAGGGACUUAUAUGGCUCAUGCUUAUGAUUUUUACAAGCCAAACCUUGCUAGUGAAUAUUCGGCAUUUGAAUUUGGCUGUCAUUUGCAUGGUAUUCAAUCAAGAAGAUUCAAUAUCCGGUGAUCAAGUUGCUUGUGGUAGACUCCCAUUAAUUAAUAUCAUUGUAGGUUGUUGAUGGCAAGCUUUCUUAAACAUGCUAGCUAUCUCAUGGCUCUUGAUUCUUGCUACAAACAAUUGUGUAAUAGUAGGAUUCUAUGGAAGUCUUGAAACCUUAACUAUGUUCUAAUUUUCUGAUAGGGCUUUUGUAGGAAUUAAUUUAGUGGUUAAUCAUUUUACUUGCCAUUAAUGGAGAUGAUAUUCUUUGUAGGAACUAUUUUAAUGAAAUGAA